UACAUGUAGAAGCAAAAUGCAAACCUGGCUGGACCAUAAAUCUGCUCAAGAUUUUCUUAAUUGUUGGUGCAUCCACUCAAAAAUUUACAUUUUAUAGGGUGCAUUCUUGGUAGGAAAAAAGUCUAAGAAUUAUCUUUCCCAUCGUCAGUAACUAACUAUACUAGAGAAAUUUGAGUGCUUAAACACAAACUAAUAUUUGUUUGCAUUUGUAAUGCAGUAUAGAAUUAGUUGAUGACUGUUCAUGAAAAUAUGUUCCCCAUCGAUCCGAAUACUUUGUAUUGAAAAAAAUAACUUCUAAUAUAUGUCAAUAACUUGCAAGAUGGUCUGAGAUACCUACAGGAAAACCAUUUGUUAGGUGACUGUUGGCCAAACAAUGAUUUACAUGUUUUGUACCUAUUUGAAACAAAAAGAGGCACACAAGUAGAAAGAUCAAACUUCAGAAUAAAAAUAUUUCAGCAUCAAAAUGGUUAAUAGUGAGUAUUAUAGCUUCAAAAGAGCCUAUUGGCUCACCCUAAAGGAUGCCCUGCAAUUGUUGUUAAACUCAUCAGAUGAAACUAGCCCUUCCUAGCUAGCCCUUAGAUUUGUCUAGCUAACAGCAAAAUACUAUAAUAAAUCUGUAACACAUGUUGCCAGACAAGAAUAAGUGAUAUAAAUAAAGAGUCAAGAGACGUAGCCCCUCAAGAACAAUGUGAAAAGAUUUAUACUUUCAAUGUAUUAAUCUAUUAACAUCGUAGAAGUAACUUGAAAAUGUCAUGCUGUUGUUUGUUUAUAUAAUUCCUUAUUUUUUCUUCUUCUUUUUCUCUUCAGAUUGUAUUUUAAACACAAAUGUUCUCCGUGACUGCCUGCUUUGCAGCAUUAGGAUUGUUGCCACUUUUGCUGCUUAACAUCCAAGACGUCAACUAAUUCCAUGAGUAGAUAAUCUCUAAUGCUGAGAUCAAACCAGGCAUGAAGAUCCAGCAAGAACCACAAAC
rnacentral:lncRNA from 1 species